AUUGAACGCUGGCGGCAGGCUUAACACAUGCAAGUCGAACGAGUGGCGGACGGGUGAGUAAUGCUUGGGAAUCCAGCUUAUGGUGGGGGAUAACUACGGGAACCUGUAGCUAAUACCGCGUCCCAUAGGAUGAGCCACGGUGGGAUUAGGUAGUUGGUGAGGUAAAGGGUCACCAAGCCGACGAUCGCUAGCUGGUCGGGGAGGACGACCAGCCACACGGGGACUGAGACGCGGCCCAGACUCCUACGGGAAGCAGCAGUGGGGAAAAUUACGCAAUGGGGGCAACCUGACGCAGCCAUGCGGCGUGACUGAAGAAGGCCUUCGGGUUGUAGAGUUCUUUCGGUAGCGAGGCGUUAGCGACAGAAGAAGGACCGGCAAACUCCGUGCCAGCAGCCGCGGUAAUUC
rnacentral:rRNA from 1 species